GAUGAACGCUGGCGGCGUGCCUAAUACAUGCAAGUCGAGCGAACAGACGAGGAGCUUGCUCCUCUGACGUUAGCGGCGGACGGGUGAGUAACACGUGGAUAACCUACCUAUAAGAGUGGGAUAACUUCGGGAAACCAGAGCUAAUACCGGAUAAUAUCUUGAAACACAAGGUUCAAUAGUGAAAGACGCUAUUGCUUUACCCAAUGAUUAUACCGCGCGGUCUUAGGCUGUUGGGGAGGUAAAGGGCUACAAAGGCAACGAUGCGUAGCCGACCUGAGAGGGUGAUCGGCCACACUGGAACUGAGACACGGUCCAGACUCCUAGGGGAGGCAGCAGUAGGGAAUUUUCGGCAAUGGGCGAAGUCCUGCCGGAGCAACGCCGCGUGAGGGAUGAAGGUCUUGGGAUCGUAAAACCCUGUUAUUAGGGAAGAAGAAAUGGGUAAGUAACUAUGCACGUCUUGACGGUACCUAAUCAGAAAGCCACGGCUAACUACGUG
rnacentral:rRNA from 1 species